GGGGAAUAUUGGACAAUGGGCGGAAGCCUGAUCCAGCCAUGCCGCGUGUGUGAAGAAGGCCUUUUGGUUGUAAAGCACUUUAAGCGAGGAGGAGGCUACUCUAGUUAAUACCUAGGGAUAGUGGACGUUACUCGCAGAAUAAGCACCGGCUAACUCUGUGCCAGCAGCCGCGGUAAUACAGAGGGUGCGAGCGUUAAUCGGAUUUACUGGGCGUAAAGCGUGCGUAGGCGGCUGAUUAAGUCGGAUGUGAAAUCCCUGAGCUUAACUUAGGAAUUGCAUUCGAUACUGGUCAGCUAGAGUAUGGGAGAGGAUGGUAGAAUUCCAGGUGUAGCGGUGAAAUGCGUAGAGAUCUGGAGGAAUACCGAUGGCGAAGGCAGCCAUCUGGCCUAAUACUGACGCUGAGGUACGAAAGCAUGGGGAGCAAACAGGAUUAGAUACCCUGGUAGUCCAUGCCGUAAACGAUGUCUACUAGCCGUUGGGGCCUUUGAGGCUUUAGUGGCGCAGCUAACGCGAUAAGUAGACCGCCUGGGGAGUACGGUCGCAAGACUA
rnacentral:rRNA from 1 species